rnacentral:rRNA from 1 species
UACAGAGGGGGCAAGCGUUGUUCGGAAUUACUGGGCGUAAAGGGCGCGUAGGCGGCCCGCUAAGUCGAACGUGAAAUCCCCGAGCUCAACUCGGGAACUGCGUCCGAGACUGGCGGGCUUGAAUCCGGGAGAGGGAUGCGGAAUUCCAGGAGUAGCGGUGAAAUGCGUAGAUAUCUGGAGGAACACCGGUGGCGAAGGCGGCAUCCUGGACCGGCAUUGACGCUGAGGCGCGAAAGCUAGGGGAGCAAACGGG